GACGAACCACACAAACGUUAUUCGGAAUUACUGGGCUUAAAGGGUGCGUAGGCGGCGCGGAAAGUAGGGUGUGAAAUCCCUCAGCUCAACUGAGGAACUGCGCUCUAAACUACCGUGCUUGAGGGAGAUAGAGGUGAGCGGAACUUAGGGUGGAGCGGUGAAAUGCGUUGAUAUCCUAAGGAACACCGGUGGCGAGAGCGCUCUGCUAGGCCGCAACUGACACUGAGGGACGAAAGCUAGGGGAGCGAAUGGG
rnacentral:rRNA from 1 species